ACUGGAUUCAUGCCCUUCCCUGAGUUCUGGGCAGAAGGCUUUUCACCCAGUUCAAAUGGUUACAAAAUUGGUCAAAUUGGAGACUUCCUUCUCCUUGCAGCAUUUCCCCCCACAACUCUGGUGUCUUAAUUUCCAGUGUCCUGAACAAAUCAAAGUUGGAAAUCUCCCAGGUGUUCUUGCUUCGUUCACCAAGGAAUAUAUUUUCAGAAAUGCUUCCACCACCAUUCUGGAAGUGCGUCUGCUGCUU
rnacentral:lncRNA from 1 species